rnacentral:lncRNA from 1 species
AGCGGGGCCGGUGGCAGCUUCCUCCAGGCAGGGACAGAGGCCGGGCUGGGCCGCGUCUCAGCCUUGAGCAUCGCCGAGGCACCACCCGCAGAGGGCGCUUCCCAGGUGGCUACCUGCGUGCUGUUAAGAGCCCGCCUGCGUCUGGGUCCCGACGCCCUUGCUGCACGGCUUUCCACGCUUGGCAGGGGAAGGCUUUGGCUCUGCGUGAACCAAGUUAACAGCGAGCAAGAAGAGCUCUUCUAGAGGCUUCUCUGGCAACGCGGCCACCUCAGACCCGACAGAAGCCUCCUUCUCUGGCAGCGCCAAAAGCUCCUGGAAUUCCUCCACCACAAAUGCUGCCCGUGGUGUAGCCGAGAAUUAAUUAGAAAGGAAAAAAACCUCUCACGUCAAAACACGUAUCUCACAACCUAUUAGCGUGAAGAUUAGCAUUAAAGAAAGUUGGAAACGAUAACAUUUUAAGCACAAUUUAUAAGUCUAAUUUCCUCCGUGUCAUUCUCAGAUAA